UCCGUAUUCAUAAACAGGUAGACUUACCUCAUAACUAGUGAUGCCAGCUGUCUUUACCAGCUCGUAUGAAUAUAAAAACAAGCUGAAAUACGAGCGGCCUAUUUUGUUCUCCGCCAGCUCGCCAUUAAGGUACAUUUGAUCGCCUGCAUCUGGAUGAAACCUUUUAGUCUAGUGACUAAGAAUUAACGCUGCAUGUAAACCUUAGGAAAUUUUUCACAAUAAGUUAUUGCACGGGUAGGGAAACAAAUGACACAUUUUCUAAUGACUAAGAUUAUGUUCUUUUUUACAAUAAGUUGCUGCACAGGUAGGAAAAAAACUGACAUUUUUCCUUGCAUUAUGACUUUUCUUAAUUUAACUAAUACUUUACUACAGUCUGUUACGUAUGAUACACAAAUAUAUGAACUUCAUAUAUUCAUUGUAGCAGAGUCUGUUCGUUAACCCACUAAAUUCGAACUAUCAUUUUUUGUGUUCGUCAUUCGUUUAUCGAAAAAGAAAAAUUUACCAUGGAAAAUGACGUAAGCUAGUGUCCUAAAAAAACAAAUUGGCUCUUCUUGCAAUCGAUGAACUAUUUGGAAAAUACACAAAAAUUAUUCUUUCAACUCCCAUUCUCUUUUCGGUGAUAAGAUCCCCAAACGGAAGCAUGUAUAUGAUGGAUAAAAAACCGAAGAGAUCAACUUCUGGCUUAUAAAACAAUAACGACAAACGAAUGAUCACUCUGAAGUUUACCGUCCACGCCAGAAUAUAGCGUUUCAGACGACGCAACUCGUGUAAAAAAAUAUUUCGAUAAUUCCUAUCUCUAUUUUGCCGGAUAGCCGGGUUAUUCAAUAUUCAGUUCUUUAAUCUCACUUUGUGGACAGCGGAAUCUUUGAAAUUCCAAUGACUGUCUUACAUUCAUGAACGAGUCCUUUCUCACAUUUCUUUAGUUCACUUAUUGAAGCUUAUAGAAUUAAACGAGAUCAAAAUGUAUUUGCCUCCAAAUAAUAAUACAUGUCAAAGAUAUUGGGAGACAAUUCCUUUUUCGUGACCUUUUGCCAUUUAAUAAGCUAAAAAUAACAACUAGUCUUUCUUGACGUAGUCAAUCCCACGUUAAUCUGAAUUUUUUAAGCUUGACAAAAAUAAUUUACCCGUACCGGAACACAGCACUUAUUUUUGGAUUGACAGUCAUGGCUGAGACCGCCGGAAAAAACUGGGAUCACCCACUCGCUUGAUUUUGAGUCUGCAAGUUCACAUUAAUAUUUUGAACCUCGUAUUAAGCAAAUUUCGUUCCUUGGAUGUUUGAAUAAAAAGGCUGCAUAAAGGAAUGUCAAUAAGAGUUAAAAUACCUGUUACAGGAAAUACAAGGUUUGCGAAUUGAUAAAAAAUCUAAAUGACAAGUAAACUAAACACUGUUUCGAAACAAAACAACCAUCUGAAUUAAGCUAAAACGAAAGCAAUGUCUAAGCUUAAUCAAAUUUGAAUUUUCUAGUAGAUAUUCCUGCAACGAAACUUCAGCUGCACACAAAUGAUAUGUUCCAGCGAAUCCGAGUUAUCGACUGUUGUUUGCAUUUCGAACUUCGUCGAUGUCAGUGUUGUAAAUAUUUUUUUGGUAAUUAUAAGGAUUUCGACCAACCGCAAUGAAGUUACAUGCAAAAUAUGUUGCUGAGUAAUUAAUUGAGAGGAAAAAUGAAUACUGCAUUGAGAUGAAACUGUAUGGAGAUAAAAAGAAAAAAAAAGAAAAAAAGUAAGGAAUUUCUUUUGGCUAAGUUCAGUAUGUUUCAGCAAUUGCUUUGUGCGAAAUCGCCAAAUUUGUAACUUAUCAUCUUUUCCAUUUUCCCUCUCGUAAGUGUAAACUUGUGUACGAUAGGUUGAUGAGACCCUAGUUCGACUCCCGUUCAACAAUGAAAGUACUGAAUUUCGCCCUAAACGGAAAACUGAGUUUAAAUAAGAAAUAAACAACUGGGAGAAACACAGCUGGUUUCAAUUGUUUACGAUCACUCUGCACGCAAAGAGCUUUCCCCCGCACAAAUCGCUAUUUAGCGUACACGCACAUCUCCCUGUCUCUUUUCUCUAGUCCACCGGAUCCUAAAACAGGCAUUGCGAAAACAAUCUUUUAUCUUGUUAAACUGUUGGCUCAACAGGAGCUUUUCCCUCCAACCAUCAUUUUCCCCAUACAACAUCUGCUGACUCGUUUUCUAUUAAUAAAAAAUGACUUUUGACUCAGUAAAGUGCGCACAUUUUUUAUCGCUGGACCUCGUUUUGUUGGACAACCAAAUAUUAAUUCCACUUCCUUCCAAUGAAUGUAUAUUGUGACGUCUUACUGCUAGACCCUAAGUCUCAUCUACAGGCAACUCCAAACUUGUCAACGUGUCAUGAUGGCUAACUUGUGGCUUCGAAAAGCGUCAACGUGUCUAGCGCUAUUAAUUCAUACCGGCGCUUUACGGAAUCUGCUAAUCGUCAGAGGCGAGACAUGCAAUUCCGACUUGAAAAUUAGACCCGUUGUCGACAUCUCUUCAAGUCCAGAAAAAAACAGUUUACCCACUGGUGCCUCAAUAACCCUGACUUGUACGGCAGAGCCCAGAAGGAUAGACUCAGGAUAUCUCGAUAGAUGGGUCGAAUAUAUCGAGUGGUACGGCCCACAGGGUAGACGACUUGGAGCUAGAUGCCACCAGCCCUCAAACAUACAUGCUCACAAACUUAAAUUAAGCUGCCCAUUAGUGCUUAAAAAUUUGACAGUUGACAAAUUUGGCCGCUACACUUGCCAAGCGGGAAAUGGUUACUUAAAACACUGCACAAGGAAAUCAUUCGAAACAAGGA